rfam:Loxodonta africana unplaced genomic scaffold scaffold_75, whole genome shotgun sequence.
CGGGGCAGACGGCUGAGGCAGUCUCUGGGAGGGGAGGCAGCGCGCAUCGGCCAUUUUCGGCUCCGGUGGAACUAACUUUGGAAUCUGUAACCUGGAGGGG